rnacentral:rRNA from 1 species
AAACCGGCCCUUUAGCGGGGGAUAGCCCUGGGAAACCGGGGGUAAUACCGCAUAAGCCAUGAUUGUCGCAUGACAGUGAUGGGAAAGGAUAGAGAUGAUAGUCUCUAUUCACUAGAGGAAGGCUUUGCGGCCUAUCAGGUAGUUGGUGGGGUAAAGGCCCACCAAGCCAAAGACGGGUAGCUGGUCUGAGAGGAUGGUCAGCCACACUGGGACUGAGAUACGGCCCAG